rnacentral:rRNA from 1 species
UUGGACCUGAUAUCAGGUAAGAUUACCCCGCUGAACUUAAGCAUAUCAAUA